rnacentral:lncRNA from 1 species
AUCAGUGAUUUCGGUGUUCCACCGAGCUCGAGUUUUGUCAUUGCACCGUCGGAGCUUCAAGCGAACCCGUCCUCCAGCCCUAACCACUCUCGAUUCACCAUGCUCCAGCCGCCGUCGUUGAGCCAAGCAAAAAUCACCAUCUUCACUGCCGCCGUUGUUGAGCCAAGAAAGAGUCACUGAAACCGUGAGAUGCUCGGUAGAUCUGUCUGAUGGAGUCCAUGGUUAUGGCUCUCAGCCUUGUCUCCCGUAAAUCACCAUAGUUAAAACGAUUCAAC